rfam:Clostridium formicaceticum strain ATCC 27076, complete genome.
GUGAAAUCCCAAGUAGAGAAUAAAUGUUGGUAUUCUCGCCCUAAUACUUCGGCAUGCCUCAAUGAACUACUGGAUUGAGGUAUGAAGCCCGAGAAAGUCGGUGAAAAACAGACCUGUGAAGUGGUUAGUGAAGUAAUCGGGGGUCCAAAAA